CACUAUCGUUAACUGAAUACAUAGGUUAACGAGGCGAACCGGGGGAACUGAAACAUCUAAGUACCCCGAGGAAAAGAAAUCAACCGAGAUUCCCCCAAGUAGCGGCGAGCGAACGGGGAGCAGCCCAGAGUCUGAAUCAGCUUGUGUGUUAGUGGAACGGUCUGGAAAGUCCGACGGUACAGGGUGAUAGUCCCGUACACCAAAAUGCACAGGCUGUGAACUCGAAGAGUAGGGCGGGACACGUGGUAUCCUGUCUGAAUAUGGGGGGACCAUCCUCCAAGGCUAAAUACUCCUGACUGACCGAUAGUGAACCAGUACCGUGAGGGAAAGGCGAAAAGAACCCCGGCGAGGGGAGUGAAAAAGAACCUGAAACCGUGUACGUACAAGCAGUGGGAGCACCUUCGGGUGUGACUGCGUACCUUUUGUAUAAUGGGUCAGCGACUUAUAUUCUGUAGCAAGGUUAACCGUAUAGGGGAGCCGCAGGGAAACCGAGUCUUAACUGGGCGUUAAGUUGCAGGGUAUAGACCCGAAACCCGGUGAUCUAGCCAUGGGCAGGUUGAAGGUUGGGUAACACUAACUGGAGGACCGAACCGACUAAUGUUGAAAAAUUAGCGGAUGACUUGUGGCUGGGGGUGAAAGGCCAAUCAAACCGGGAGAUAGCUGGUUCUCCCCGAAAGCUAUUUAGGUAGCGCCUCGUGAACUCAUCUUCGGGGGUAGAGCACUGUUUCGGCUAGGGGGUCAUCCCGACUUACCAACCCGAUGCAAACUACGAAUACCGAAGAAUGUUAUCACGGGAGACACACGGCGGGUGCUAACGUCCGUCGUGAAGAGGGAAACAACCCAGACCGCCAGCUAAGGUCCCAAAGUCAUGGUUAAGUGGGAAACGAUGUGGGAAGGCACAGACAGCCAGGAUGUUGGCUUAGAAGCAGCCAUCAUUUAAAGAAAGCGUAAUAGCUCACUGGUCGAGUCGGCCUGCGCGGAAGAUGUAACGGGGCUAAACCAUGCACCGAAGCUGCGGCAGCGACACUAUGUGUUGUUGGGUAGGGGAGCGUUCUGUAAGCCUGCGAAGGUG
rnacentral:rRNA from 1 species